UUGUUGACCGCUGGCAUCGGUGUGAUGUUGCCCACGUGCGGGUGUGGUAGAGCUGGAGCAAGCAAUCCAAAGGUAACUUCAUUUUUGGUGUGCUAAAUGAGGAGACAUUUUCAGUUCUAACGCUCAGUAUUUUUCAGGCUCUAAUCUGAACGAGAUUGUUCGAACCAUCAAACUAUUAAAGCUGAACAUGUUUCAGUUGAAUAGCACCAUCGCUGGCCUGUACCCUACAUAAGGCAUGCCAUGGAUGUGGGAUUUUUGAGAGAUUUGUUCCGGUGCACGGCCCACGUGAGGACUUAGGGAAAACUCAGCUGAAAUUGUGCAAAUUUCUGGAUGUUGUCAUUAAUUUCAGGCUAUCAAAUUUCAUGACACCGAAAUUGUUCACAGAGGUGAUCGGUAGCAUGUGUUUUUAGUUUGAAGGUUAUAAUGUCAUUAUUUAACAGAACAAAUUUAAAGUUUUCAGCAAAGAGAUUUUGGCAAUGUUCCAUGAGGAUGAAAGUCAAGGAAAGGUUUUGAGUGGCACUUUAGAGGACACAACUGUAAUUGGGCCAGUCUAGUGGACUGUAGGUACCUCCGUAUCCUUUACCGUACUCCUAAACUGAAAACAAGCUCCCACAUGGUCUGGCCACACUCAGUGUAGCAUUAGCAGAUCAGCAGCUACACGUAGAGACAAGUCAACUUACAAGUAUUGUCCCUUAUAAUUGGAGUGAAUCUUCUGCUUGAGUCCUGGUCUGCUAGAGUCAGUGAUUGAAGCCUGAGUGUAUUCUGGGUUCACUUUACACACUGUUGUUUUAGUUUUUAGUCUUUGGUCUUUUUAAGUGUUACUGUUAGGUUAUGGGUUUUUAAGUUACUGCUCUAGGGUGGGUUGGUGUUUUGACGUGUUUUGUUUCAAAAUCUAGAAUCGGUGUCUGAUGAGUACAGUACUUACUAAGUAAGUUACAGUAAGUUCCCUGCAAUUUUUCCCUUGCAUUCUUCAUCAAUUUUAGUUUGCAGUUCUCCCCCGUAGCAUCGUACUUAUUUUGUAAGCUCAUCCUGUAUGUGUACUUCUUCAGUGCAUUGGCACACUUCAAUGCUUGGCCCAACCGUUACACGCACCUGGAACCUUUGUAAUGAACAUAUAUACAUCUCAUUCAGCCCAACGUUCGUGGAUGAUUAUUCGCUGGAGGUGCCAAGCACAUACGGGCAUAUUGUGCAACAACUCGGCUGGCACAUGCAUACACGGGCUUAGGCCAUGUCCGAAACGGGCCUCCACAGCGACAGCUAGGUCGUUUGUCCCUUUAGUUGCGGAUUGUGUAUGCACGCACGCAGCAAAUUCAACUACAUGUACAUGUGUCUAACUGAUUAUUCUGUGACGUGAUGGAUUGGUCAACUUUACGCCACAAGGGGAUGUUGUUGGUUUUUAUUGAAACAAGCAGAAAAAACAAGCACAGUGGAGUAAACUUUUACCAAGUUGUCUUCUUCUAGUGUUCCAUUUUUCCCUGUUACACCUGUAUUGACCUUUAGUUGGACCGAGAGAAAACACAAUUUCCUUGGCAUGACAGGCUCCUUUGGUACUAACUAUGCAUCACUGGUUCAUGAACGACUAGGAUGUGCCCCAUCGCUACCAACAAAAUGAAUACUCCCAACCAACACGGCUCUUCUCAACCAAUUAGGCUGUGCUUCUACUCAAAGUAGAUAGCAUUUGGGGAUGGCAGCUGAAACCUUAACUGGAAGAGAUUGACUGGCUGAAAAAAUAGCAGUGACAGAGAGACAAGAACAAGCUAGUCCCUGGACAAAGUUUUCUGAAGUGUGACAGAUCAGACAUAUCAUAUCACUAGAGACAAUACUGGACCAGUAUGGCAACAGCUUACAUCGUUUUCUGAUAUUAGUCUGUGGUACUGCCAAUGGAAUUUUCAUCCAGAAUACUAUCACCUCUUGGCUGACAAGAUCUACAAGAUCCAGAAGGAGCUGCAGCAGAAGCGACAGAAGAGGAUGCAGGAUUCAGGAGGUACUGAUGCUGCCGCUGGAGGCAUCCUCACGAUGGCUGCAGCGCAGCUGCCCCAGCCACAGCCUCCCCACUAACUGCCCAGACCAGUAUGUCCACUGGGAAAAUGUAGCUCUUUCAACCAACUUAUAUCAGAAUUAUGCUGUACAUAACGAAAUGUUUAUGGUCUUGAAGGGUUAUUUUGGUGUCAGUGUUGCUUUGGCUCAGCAAUGAAAAGUGGACUGGUAGAAUGGGGCGUCAGGUUGGCAUAGUGACACUUUUGUCACCUUACACUUCUGUGAAUCCAGCCGAGGUUAUCAUGUGGAUUUUGCAGUCUUUACUUAACUUUGUGGGUUUUUCUCUAUAAUGGUCAUGUGGAGUUUUUCCUUCCACUUCUAAAACUGAACUUUAUCCUCAUAUAUUUGCAGUUGUAAUUUGAAGUUGUAGAUCGUCACAUUUCUCAAGUUACUGGCAGCCCAUUGAAAAACAUCCUGGAGAUUAUGUUGCUACCAUCAAUGAAUAAAGCUGAAAUUGUUAUUGUUGUUGGAAUUACACAGGGGAAAUGGUAUUGUUUAUGGUAGCAGGGCCAGGUUUCCUUCUUUUUUUAACGUUGGUCGCUUAUUGCUUUUGUUUUGCUGGGGAUUAUUGGAGGUGCUGCUGUGCACUCCAGCUUGCCCAUUGCAGGAGUGAUGUGUAGGGCUAGAAAGUUUGGAGUAUUAAUACAAAUUGCAGUGACCCAUAGUCAUAAGUACCUUCCCUUUCU